CCCCUGCAUUUCAAUAAGCGGAGGGAAAGAAACCAACAGGGAUUGCCCUAGUAACCCGCGAAUGGAAGCGGCGGCCGCUCGAAUUUGAAAUCUGGCUUCGGCCCGGGUUGUAAUUUGCAGAGGAGCUUCGGGCAAAGGUGCCUUCCGAGUCCACUGGAACGUGGCGCCCCAGAGGGUGAGAGCCCCGUAUCGUUGGGUACCGCGCCUGUGUGAAGCUCCCUCGACGAGUCGAGUAGCUUGGAAAUGCUGCCUCUAAACGGGGGGUAAAUUUCCUUCCAAAGCUAAAAUACCGGCCCGGGACCGAUAGCGCACAAGUAGAGUGAUCGAAAGAUGAAAAAGCACUUUGGAAAGAGAGUCAAACCAGCACGUGAAAAUUGUUGAAAGGGAAGGAUUUGUGACCAGACUUGCGCCGUACGGAUCUCCCGGUGUUCUCACCGGGGCACUCGGCGCGGUUCGGGCCAGCAUCGUUUUUUGCGGGGGACGAAAGCGAUGGGAACGUAGCUCCGCCCGUGGGGGUUUUUAUCCCCCUGCCAGAAAAAAACCCCGGGGGGAACCGGGGGCCUUUGACCGCGUUCUCUCAGGGAUGCCGGGCCGUAAAUGUUUCACCAAUCGCCCCGUCUUUUGAAACCCGGGCCCACGGCUGGUUUUUGAUUAGGGGGGAGAAAAAAGGCCCCGGUUUUGAAAAAAGGAAACCAACGGGUUUUUUAAAAAAGCGGGGGAAAAAAAGCCCCCUUCUUGGAAAAAAAAAAAACCAUGCCUUUAUUAAAAAACCCGGGGCGAAAAGAUUCGAAUCUUUGUCUAAGAAAAAUUCUUUAUAAUAAUAAACGCCCCAAGGCAGUAUUUACGUGGUGGGCGUAGAUAAGGGGUGGUGGACUCGAGCGCAAUCGUUACAUGGAGAGAGACGGAAAAGAGAGCGGACGAAGUGACGGCUAAGUGCAGAGAAGAGAAAGACUAGCACAAGAGUGGCACAGAGAUGCAGAGAGCGGCAAUACGGGUAG
rnacentral:rRNA from 1 species